rnacentral:rRNA from 1 species
GGAAUCCUACGGGGGGCAGCAGUUGGGAAUAUUGGACAAUGGAGGAAACUCUGAUCCAGUGACGCCGCGUGAAGGAAGAAGGUCUUCGGAUUGUAAACUUAUUUUAUCUGGGAAGAAAAAAAUGACAGUACCAGAGGAAGAAGCACCGGCUAACUACGUGCCAGCAGCCGCGGUAAUACGUAGGGUGCAAGCGUUAUCCGGAUUUACUGGGUGUAAAGGGCGAGUAGACGGUACUACAAGUCAGAUGUGAAAUGCUAGAGCUCAACUUUAGAACUGCAUCUGAAACUGUAGAACUAGAGUACAGG